rnacentral:rRNA from 1 species
UACGUAGGGGGCAAGCGUUGUCCGGAAUUAUUGGGCGUAAAGCGCGCGCAGGCGGUUUCUUAAGUCUUGUGUUUAAUCCCGGGGCUCAACCUCGGUUCGCAUGGGAAACUGGGAAACUGGAGUGCAGGAGAGGAAAGUGGAAUUCCACGUGUAGCGGUGAAAUGCGUAGAUAUGUGGAGGAACACCAGUGGCGAAGGCGACUUUCUGGCCUGUAACUGACGCUGAGGCGCGAAAGCGUGGGGAGCAAACAGG